rnacentral:rRNA from 1 species
UACGUAGGUGGCAAGCGUUAUCCGGAUUUACUGGGUGUAAAGGGCGUGUAGGCGGGAAAGCAAGUCAGAUGUGAAAACCACGGGCUCAACCUGUGGCCUGCAUUUGAAACUGUUUUUCUUGAGUACUGGAGAGGCAGACGGAAUUCCUCGUGUAGCGGUGAAAUGCGUAGAUAUGAGGAGGAACACCAGUGGCGAAGGCGGUCUGCUGGACAGCAACUGACGCUGAGGCUCGAAAGCGUGGGGAGCAAACAGG